CUAUAGUUGCUGUAGCCCAGAGGCCUGCCAGUUCCUGCUUUAAUGCAUAUGUAGUUGUAAUUGAGUUCUAGCACGGCCUUGGAUGUUUCUGUCCUAAAUAGCUGACAUUGCAUCUUCAAGACUGUCAUUCCAGUUGGCUUUUGAGUGGAUAAUUGUGGCAGUGAGAGCAUUGACGUUGGAAACAACUAGUGCCCGUUUGGAUUACUUAAAACACAACCAUGAAAAGAAAUACGUGUGAUUUGCUUUCUCGGAGCAAGAGUGCCUCUGAGGAAACACUGCAUUCCAGUAAUGAAGAGGAAGACCCUUUCCGGGGAAUGGAACCCUAUCUUGUGCGGAGACUUUCAUGCAGAAAUAUUCAGCUUCCUCCUCUUGCCUUCAGACAGUUGGAACAAGCUGACUUGAAAAGUGAAUCAGAGAACAUUCCACGACCCACCAGCCUCCCUCUGAAGAUCCUGCCACUGAUUGCUAUCACUUCUGCAGACUCCAGUGGGUGAGUGCCCUCGGGUGACAUUUCCCUAUUUUAUAUUUUUGAUGGCGAUUGUUAUCUGCGGUCUUCUGAGUUUUUCUGGUUCAUUGCUUGAUUUGAGUAGGAUGACAAUAGUGUUUUGGGAGUCCAGGGGGGAAAAAAAGGAUGCUUUUUCUCAGGUAACAUCUCUACUCUGCAGGAUGAAGCAUUUUAGUCCAUUAUUUUACAAGAAGGCAUUGAAAAUGUAUUGGUGAAAGCUAAUAAGCAUCCAGGCAAAGGGAAUUAUACAUGGAAAAUUAAUAUUGGAUAUUUGUAAUUUAAUACAAGGAUUGUUAACAAAUGAGAACUAAUGGACAA